CUGGAAAUGAGCAGCCAGGCCAGGAUGCACAGUCUCAUUGGUCAGAACUACUUGCCUGGUUCAACCACAGGGCUCUGUGGGGGACAGGGCAGUGAAAAGGACCUUUCACAGAGAUUACUCAUAAGAAACAAGGCUAAGUCUCCCCAGAGGAAAACUACAAGGGUCCUACCGCCGGGGUAGUGACGAGCACAUGCACGCGUGAGUCUGGUUGCUCUCAUCUUUGAAUUCUCUGCUGAAAUAGCACGUCCUCACAGGGAACUUGCCCAACCACCCUCUUCAAAGCAGAAGCCCCAGGUUCAUUUCUGACCUAGCAUCCCAUUUAUUUUCUUCAGAACAUGUGCUAUAAUAUGUAAAUAGCUUCUUUAUUGUUCACUGUUAAAUUUUUCUAUCUAGAAUGAAAUGUGUUUAUUGCAGGAAAAUGGAAUCUUGUAAGAACGGUUUGUCCAGAUCACUUCGGGAUCCCCAGCACCUGGCACGUGGUGGCACCCACUAGCUUCUCAAUGAAAGCUUGUUCAAUAAAUGAAUGACCCCCACUAUUGGUGAGAGUGUC
rnacentral:lncRNA from 1 species